UUGUACCUGAAACAACAAAAGAAGGGAACCUUUCAGUUUCUAAUCAAACUGCAUCAGACGACUCGAUCACCAUCUCCCCUUCUUACACCAACCAUAAAUUUUCAAUCCGGUGCCUCAACCCAGUGGCGAUCUUGUUCAACCAACUCUUCUGUAAAAUCUGAAACACCAUUCAACCCAAAGAACCCCAAAUUCAAUCUUAGUCUUUCACUUGCUAACUGGUGUAUUACUGUAUUUGCUGAUCUUUGAACAUGCAUGAAGGUACAACUCAGAAAUUCACUGCUCAUCUUUUUAAUGUCUUUAAUAUAUGUUGAAAUUUCAAAUCUAUCGACUUCGUUAAGCUUCACUUUUUUAAUCACUGUGAAUGAAUCCCCUUCAACAACCAGUCUCCACAAACCCAAGUCACGGCAUAAUCUCAUAGCCACUGUGCAAGCCAUUGUUUCUGCUGAAAAGGCGAUGGAGUCCUCGAAUGACAGGUAAUUUUUGAAACAAGAACCUCCCCUUUUUCAUCUCUAAUUACAAUACCCGAACAAGAAAUUGCUUCUAUUUGCCAAAAAUAGCAUCAAAAUUAACUUUUAAGUAGCCAACUUUUGGGACCUUCCAGCAAUCUUCACGUCAACCACCCAAAGGUAAGAUUAUUUCCAAAUCAUCCAAUUCCUUAAUGUAAUUCUUGACAAAUCUGAUAGUAGCCAACCCAUCUUGUAGGCACCUUUCAUGCACCCAUUUGUUCCUGUUUAUCUAUAUUGCCCAAAGGACACACAAACAAACGACAUUGAUUUUGCCAAUACUGAGCAAAAAU
rnacentral:lncRNA from 1 species